UGUAAGGCCAAAACAGAGAGGCCCACAUCAUGUAUGGAAAAAAAGUAAUGAGGUCUCUCACUUCUGAGUACCCAAACACGAUCAUAAAAGUGUAUCGCAACCUCUAAAGUCUAAACACAAAAAAAAAAAAAAACUUGUGUGUGGUGAGGAGUAUUGUACAAACCCAAAUCUAGACCCAUUAACAUGGAUUCCCCCAACAUCCUUUGGUGAAUCCCAUCGUUCCUUCAGGGCCCACUUCUCUCGAGUCGAAAAGCAUCUUCCCAAAUCAAAUUGGACGACGAAUACGUGGAUCUGACAACCACCCACGUAGUCGGUGGAAUGCUCCCCACGUGGCAUAUGAUAAUUUGUGAAAACACUGAAAAUCUCUAUGUUGACCCCACUUAGGUGGGCCAUGGCACCGCCCAACCUCCGUCUUUUCCACUUUACAGAGCGAAGAAAGGACUUCCGUUAAGCGUCGAUUCAAGAGCCGUUUUGCCCCCAAACGCACCGUAAACGGAAUGAAACGGCGCGUAUCGGAGUAUCAAUCAUGGCGGCAGGCAGACAAUCUUCUCGACUCACAAUCCUCCACCAGCUAACGAUUAGAUGUUGAGCACAUGAUUACACCCAUGACGAUCUUCCAACUCAGCAAAACCUCACGAGUCAACAACUCAGCAUCUGCUUAUGCGUAACCGCCUGGUGGGUCCUACCGGAGAAGAAAAGUAUGCAUGAUGGGUCUCCUGAAGGCGUCACAAGUGGUGAUCGACCAUGAAUGGUGCCACGUCAGAAUACGAUUCGUUUCUUCCAAGUAAGUCAUAUCCAUUGGUGGUGUUAGGGUUCAUAAUUGAAUUUUUGGCUGCCUAAUGUGUUUUUUGCUUUCACAACUUUAUCAAUUUUGAUGAUCCACGUUUUUUUACCAUCUAUGUUGCAAUUCAAUCCCAAUUGGUAUUUUGUGCAUGGUAUAUAUGAUUGGGUGAUAGCCAUCAAUCUUCGGAA